rnacentral:rRNA from 1 species
UACGUAGGGUCCGAGCGUUGUCCGGAAUUAUUGGGCGUAAAGGGCUCGUAGGCGGUCUGUUGCGUCGGGAGUGAAAACGUUACAGCUUAACUGUGAGCGUGCUUCCGAUACGGGCAGACUUGAGGUAUUCAGGGGAGAACGGAAUUCCUGGUGUAGCGGUGAAAUGCGCAGAUAUCAGGAGGAACACCGGUGGCGAAGGCGGUUCUCUGGGAAUAUCCUGACGCUGAGGAGCGAAAGUGUGGGGAGCGAACAGG